GACGAACCGUGCGAACGUUGUUCGGAAUCACUGGGCUUAAAGGGCGCGUAGGCGGGCUGCCAAGUCCGGGGUGAAAUCUUUCGGCUCAACCGGAAAAGUGCCUUGGAUACUGGCGGUCUUGAGCGAGGUAGGGGCAUGUGGAACUUCCGGUGGAGCGGUGAAAUGCGUUGAUAUCGGAAGGAACGCCGGUGGCGAAAGCGACGUGCUGGACCUCUUCUGACGCUGAGGCGCGAAAGCUAGGGGAGCGAACGG
rnacentral:rRNA from 1 species